GGAAAAUAAUCUGGAAAUAUAUAUAUAACUGAAGCACUUUGCUGUCCACCUGAAACUAACACAAUAUUAUAAAUCAACUCUACUUCAGUUUUUUAAAUUGAGCAUAAUUUGAUAGCUCAGGCCCACUGGGGAGGGUGGAGCAAGUGCCCCUACACAGGUGGCCCCCGAGAGUCCUGCAUUUGAGUUCUUGCUGUUGUUGGCUUAUUAUAAUUUUGUGACCUGCCCCUUUGUCAAGCUGUCAGCAUGUGACCCUCAGCAGCUUCUCUACCUCCUUGAAGUUACUGCUUCCAGGAUUGGAGCCUAAAUGUGGUACAUGGGGAGGGGCCAAGGGGGCAGGGGAGGGGGCGAGGAAGUGUGGUUCUGCCUUCGUCCUCCAUCCUGGAGUGUGUAACUUCUCUGCCGUGGACCCCAGGCUCCCCAUCUGAAAUACAGGGAAUUAGAAAAAGUGACUCCGUAAGGCUCUAAGCUUGGUAAUUCCCAUGAAGAUGCUCUAAAGUGAUCUCAAACUCAGCGUAUCAACCCAAAUGAGAUUAAACUGUGGUUGUCUGUGUAGCUGCCUCACUCCUCCUGUAAUCGGUGCACUCCUAUGGGCAGGGGCCAUCUUAUAGUCAUCCUCCAGCGCCUGGCAGGUAGCAGGGCUGUGAUACACAAGGGUGGACAUGCAAAUGGACCGGCCAGCUGAGACCGAAGCACUGAUUCUCUCCAGCUGUGAACCUCUCACCUGUCUCCUCAGCUCAGUCACAAGCUCUCUGGGAGCGAAGAAUAGAUCUUUUCUUCACGAGGUCUCCAAGCAGGGCUGAUGGGCACUCAGGGUGCACUUGUGUGUCCAGGUCAGUUGUUAAAAUACUGAAAAACUUCCGUACAGUUGCUGCCUGAGCCCUAGAGUGCCCCCCACCCCUAGAUGCCCAGCACCUCAUCCAAUGCCCCCAGCUCCCUGUCUGGCUGCUAAAGGGUGAUGUCUGGCCUAGCAGGGCCUCCAGGACUCUGCUCCAGCUCUAUGGCUGCAUCCUUCUCACUGGUCAGUGUAUUGCCGUGCUAUUGUUAAAUGUCUGAGUGAUGGACCCGCCCGAUGCAGAUGAUGGGGAUGCAGCAGAUGCCUGGUAGAUGCUACUUGUUACCUGAGAAUCGAUAUAUGUGGGCUCUGGUCUCCCAGUGGACUGACGGAGUUCUCAGCAAGGAAGUGGGCAGUGUGCUGCCUGAUGCCCAAAGACAAGUUUACAGGUCCCUGGCUGGACAACAUAAGGCCCUCCAAGGACACCCGCAGGGGAAGGAAAGUACAGACUUGCUGUCCUUGCCACUCUCAUCCCUGUCAAUCCAUCCGUCCAUCCAUCCAUCUGUCCACCCAUCCACUGUUUGGGGCCCACACUUCAGGCACAUCAGCUCCAGGAAGACCAGAGAGCACGUCAUGCCGUACAGUGAGCUGGGCCAGACGGGCAGGGGCAGUAGGAAGAGGUCAGACUUGGUGCUGGGGGUCGGAGUCGGGGUCGCUGGUCUGAGCCCCAGCCCUCUGACCAGCCUGGCGGCCAGACUCUCGGAGCCUGUAUUUCCUCUUCGGCACAAGUAACAGAGUUAAACCUACUUUUAGCUUGUUGUGAGGCCUGGUGAGUCUAACAAAGGCUCUGAUCUGGGUCCACAGUUGGGGCUUCUCCUCUAGAUGGAAUCUUAUUUGGAGAAAUCAGGACUUGAAAAAUGACAGAGUGGUUACACAGGUAUGUCUUGUUUGCAAAGACGCAUCGAGCUGUACACUUAUGUAUGCCCUUCUGUACGCAAAGUAGAUACAGUAAAAAGCUAAAACACCAAACGUUCUCAGGCAUCGAAAAUAUUAUCAGGAAAAAAGUUGAGAUGCUAAAACAGAUAGCUGAGAAAAAUCUAGGAUUUUAGUCGGUUUUAGUCGAUUUAGUUGAUUUUAGCCAGGGGGUCGGUACAUUCCAGGCCAGGGAUCAUUAUAAACAAAGGUAGGACAGGCUUUUUCACAAGGCUGUGGGAGGACAGGGGUAAGGCGGGCACGGGGCCAGGACAAGGCCCUGAGUUAUGUGAGGAGGUCUGUGUAAGAAGCCAUGCAGCAGUGGGCAGGGGAAAUGAACACCAAGAGACUCUCAGGACCUCCCAUGUUCCUGAAGCCUGGAUGCCCCAAGGCAGGCAGAGAUGGAAUCCUCUGGACAACUUCUCUCUGCAACUCAUCCAGCUCCUCUCCAGGCUCUCUCCUCUGCAGGUGGAGGGGCCCAGGGCCUGGCGAGGCCACCCCUGUCCACAUGGGAAAAGUGCAGGUAGGUCCAAGAGACAGAAUCUCCUUCCUCACCGUGGGGAGAGGAGGGGUGUGUGUCUCCUUCAGCUCCUGGGUCAGCCUUCCCGCCUGGGGCCUCAGAGAAGCCUCAGAGACAGGACCCUUCCUGUCCGGGGCCAAAUCUUCAGAUCAAUGGGUUCAUGCCACCGAGGUUGUGCAGACAAUCCCCCACUACACCCCUCUGCUCCUGGAAGAGCUCUUUCUGGAGCAGCUGAAAUGGUGUAGGUAACUUUCUGUGCUUUCCCAGGAAGUCAGAAGUCAGAGACAGCCGGCCAAGCUCUUGUGGGUUCGUUCAUCUGGAUACCAGAUGGGAGGGGCAGAAAGAGGGCUCCUUAAAGCAAAAGGAAAUGAGAGCUGAAGACAAAGUCUGCAAGCAGCCAGAGGCCCGCCCACCUGUAGCAGCCGAGGCUUGUUGGUCCCAAAAUCUGUUGUCCACUGUUCCAUGGGAUAUUUAGCUGAGAAUAUGGCCACUCAGAAGGAAGACUACAUUUCCCAGCGUUUCUUACAGUAGAUACGGCCAUGUGACUAACAUCUAGUUAACAGGUGCAAAUCCAGCCUCCUCCAAGAAACGCUGCCAGAUGGUGUGUCGCUACUUGCAAAGUCCUUUCACAUGCAUUUAAAAAAAUCCAUUUCCUGUUUUCUGCACAAUCACCUCUAGAUGGAAAAUUGAGGCCCAGAGGGAUGAAUUAACAUACUCAGGGUCACAGAGAAACAGAGCUGGGAUGAGAACCCAGCCCUCCACCAUUUCCAGGAGCCCGGAAAACGUUCUUCAUGAGAUGAACAGGAACAACAAAGAGCACACUGAACGGAGAAGAUCAAUUGCCGAUCACUCAGCUAUUUAACAGACCCAACCCAUAUGGAGGUGAGUGGAACAUCCCUGCCCUCAGGAAACGGGCAGUGCAGCAAGGAGCUGAGACCUGGGUGUGAACACACCAGCGGGGGUGGUCCUGGGGUGGGGCUGGGGGGCUGCGCCUGGACCCUGGAUGCCUGGACCCUGGACGCCUGGGCUAGGGACCAGCGGGGUGAGCCCCUGGGCCUCUCAGGGCCUUGGUUUGCUCAGCGAUCACGUAGGGUUGGGGAUGAGACACCCCUUAGGGCCGUCCUGGACUCCAGGAGCAAACACAUGCCAGACCCUGCCCAGCGCCAGGCCCCUAGGAGUGGUCGUGGCUGUCACCAUGGGUGCUCAGCCACCGAAGGCAGACGCCCUUCCUGCCCAGGCUCUUCUCAGGGUGUGGUGGUAUCUCAGGGGCCAGCCCUCGUCCACCAGCCAGGCGUCUGCAGGUUUUUGUUUAGACACGGCUUCCUGCUCUAGGGAGUCUGGAAUGACUGUCUGUCUCGUUACCAAAGCAGCACCGGCUAUGAUCUGUCCACCUCUGUGGGACUCUAAAACCUGGCAAAGCACUGGAAUCAUGGAGCGUGAACACCCCUGCUGGCAAGGCUCUGACCUGCUGCAGGACAGCUCUCCUAACGCCCCCAGUCCUCCUUUGCUCUGGAGCCCUAUGGGUGGCUUCAGUGGACCUGAGGCCUCCCCUGGCACAGCACCACCAGGGCGCCAGCCGCUCCCCCAUGCCCUCAGGAGGGGUGGGAUGCCCCUUCCUAAAGCAUCCAUCCCCAUCCCUGGCCCUCCCGUCGUUCCCCGGCCCGCCGGCCGGACGUCUCGGCUUUCCUCCCACACCUACUGUCCUAGAGCUGUGAACAGUCUGAACUGCCCCCCAGCACCUCACCACAUGCCUGGAACGUGACAGUGUUGAAAGCCGUAGAGAAUGAAGACCCAGAAAUGCUGCAGGAGGUGCCUGAGACCUUUGAGAGAUAAGUGUGAAAGGAAGAUAUAAAACAUUUGCCCAAGGUCAGAGGAGCCAGGCAGAAGAGUUUGCCAAGAAGAGGGAAAUCCUGGGACGCAUCUGAGCCUGAAGGAGGGACAGAAGUAAGAAGGUGCAGUGGCUCUGAGGACCAGGCCGGGAGGACGCAGACAGGGACAGCUGUGAGACGCUGGCCGGCGUGGCCCAUUAAAUGCCGACUUCUUUGCAGACGACGUAGAGCAAACCUGCCUUUCCCCUGCUUCUUCUGGACCACAGUCACCCUCACCUCGUCCGGGGCUGAUGGAUCACCAGAAUCUUGCCGAGCCUGGGGGGCUCUCUCUAAAGGCAGAGAAGGAUGGGAACUACCCUGGCCCUCUGUCCCCACCCAGCUCUCUACUCAGGUGCCCACAGGAAUGCCUGGGGCUCCUGGAGCUGGAAGAGCACUGUGGAGAGGAACUGCAGCCCCACAGCACUCAGGGCCUGGGACUUCUCAGCUCCCUCUGCGGUGGAGGGCCGGAGCCUAGCCUGAACCAGAACCGCCAACUGGAUUUGAGUGCACAUGAAGAGGGGAAUUAAAAAAAGACAGAUCAAAACUGGCCUUAAAAUUAGACGCUCGUCCAAGCCACUACCUGCGGAGAGUAGAAUCCUCUGCAACGACAGCAGGCUGCGGGACACCACUCCUGGAGCCGUUCUUCUGGAAUUCUCUGGCUGUUCAGGGGGCAGCUCUUCCUCCCCCAGGGCUCCUGGCCACCCUCUCCCUGCCUUUCUCCCCAGGGCCGUUCAGGCUGCCCAGUUGCUGACUGAGGAAGAAGCGUCCUGACUAGAACCACAGCCCAAAGAAUCUGGUGCUUAUUUGCACCCCAGGGGGCCCUCAUCCUGAAAAUUCUGGUACUGCCAAGGGUCAGGGGGGUGCUGAGCUGCUCUGCUCUCCGCCCUGUGUGGAACCUGCAGGGCCGUUUUGCUGGGGAGGCCCCAAGUUCCCAACUAGUUUCCAGCCUGAGAAAAAGCAAGAAACCUGGGCUGCGGACACACCUUGGGAAGGAGGCAAAGAAGACAAGGAAUGAACCCACACAGCAGAGCCGGGCCAGGCCCCACGGAGCCCAGCGCCAGCACCCUGCCCACAGCUGCACCGUACCAUGGGUGGGCCUGCAUCUUCAACACUCCCUUUCCCUGCCAGACCUCCUCCUUCCCCUCCCCAGAGCCGCCUGGCUUCUUGCCCAAGACCUAGACACCUGCCCACACGCACAGAGCCCACAGGGGCCCGACCAGGUCUCCUGCCGUUCAUUCCGCCCAGACGCACGUGAGCAGGGCUGCUGACCCAGGAUGCUCCCCCUCCUCGCUCAGAGCCGGACUCCUCAUGGGAUCUCAGGAAACUUCUACCAAACGAAGCCUUUCUAGCCUCUGCCCUCCUCCUCAGAGGCCAUCCAGGUGCAGAUGUCUCAAGGAGCCGGCUGCGAGUUGCCCGCUUCUCCCAGCAGCCCCAGUCUCCGGAUGCAGAUGCAUGGGGCCACAAGGCCUGUGAAGGUGCCGAUUCUUCCCUCUUCAUGCCGUCUGCUCGUCCACAUGGGCAGGAACCGUGAGGCUGCACGGUCAGGGGCCCCUCUCGCAUGGGCUUGGCAGGUAUUGCUGAUGCCGUUCUGAGCAGACAGUGCUGCCUCUCCUCCGUGGCACUCCCGUGUGACUCGGCUCAAGUCUACCCCUAGGAAGGUUUUCUCAGCUAAGUCCGCUCUUCCUCUUCCCGGCUCAGGCUUCUCUUCCCUAAGAGCUGUGUGGUGAAUGGCAGGGCUGUGCAAACCUUACUGUGCACGCAAAAUGUCUGUCUGGAGAUCCAGUUAAAUGUAGCUGGGGUUCAGCAGGUGAGAGGAGUGGGAUCCUGCAUUUCUGACAAGCUCCCAGGUGAUGCUGCUGUGGUCCACAGGCAACACUUUGGGAGUGAGAAAGUAGAGGAAAGAGACUUGGGAUGUCUGCAAUGUUCCUGCAUUACGUGAGGUAAUGCAGAGCCGAGAGCCCCUGAAGCCACGGGUGCCCACAAAUGCAAGUUCUGUUCCUUUUGCUUCAGUUUUCUCCCUGUAAUAGUAGGAACGAGAGACCUCGCGAGAGGUAUUGCCAGAGAAUUAAAUGAAAUAACAUCUGAAGACCGUGGUGCACAGCAGGUGACAGAUGA